UUAGUCCUAUCAGGAUGUGCUCCGUGA
rnacentral:sRNA from 1 species